rnacentral:rRNA from 1 species
UACGAAGGGGGCUAGCGUUGCUCGGAAUCACUGGGCGUAAAGGGUGCGUAGGCGGGUCUUUAAGUCAGGGGUGAAAUCCUGGAGCUUAACUCCAGAACUGCCUUUGAUACUGAGGAUCUUGAGUUCGGGAGAGGUGAGUGGAACUGCGAGUGUAGAGGUGAAAUUCGUAGAUAUUCGCAAGAACACCAGUGGCGAAGGCGGCUCACUGGCCCGAUACUGACGCUGAGGCACGGAAAGCGUGG